UACGUAGGGUGCGAGCGUUAAUCGGAAUUACUGGGCGUAAAGCGUGCGCAGGCGGUUCGUUAAGUUCGAUGUGAAAGCCCCGGGCUCAACCUGGGAACUGCAUUGGAAACUGGCGAGCUUGAGUAUGGCAGAGGGGGGUGGAAUUCCGCGUGUAGCAGUGAAAUGCGUAGAGAUGCGGAGGAACACCGAUGGCGAAGGCAGCCUCCUGGGCUAACACUGACGCUCAGGCACGAAAGCGUGGGGAGCAAACAGG
rnacentral:rRNA from 1 species